CUGUGGUGAAAACGCCAAAAGAAGCAGCCGAGACAAUUUUAUACUGUGCUUUGGACGAUGGAGUGGCUACAGAGUCUGGGUUUUAUUAUUGUGACUGCAAACGAAAGCAUGCUGCUUCAAAAUGUGAAGAUCCAAAAACAGCCAAAGAAUUAUGGGACUUGAGCAUCAAUCUACUGGAUCUUGAACAUACAAAUCUUUUGGCAGUAAAUACUUGAGAGUUCUCAGCAAAUAUCAUUUCGUGCCAAAACAAUAUUUGUUAUAUAAUGUUUUGUUUUUGCCUAUAGAGUUACUCAUGAAAUUUGACUGAUGAAAGUCCAGAAAAUGUUGUGCCAUUCUAGAGAAAUAGCUUUAACUUUCAACUUUACAAAAUACAGAAAUAAUACAGUAGGAAACUGGUAAAACUUAUAAUUCUUAAAACAAUGUAAUGUCGAGCUAAGAUGUACUGUAUUAUGAGAAUAUAUAAAUGAGAAUGUGUUUGGAAUAAGCAAGAGUAUAAAGUUGUCAAGAAAAUAAACAAAUAUAAAAGCUUCA